rnacentral:rRNA from 1 species
UACGAAGGGGGCUAGCGUUGUUCGGAAUUACUGGGCGUAAAGCGCACGCAGGCGGUUUGAUAAGUCGGGGGUGAAAUCCCGGGGCUCAACCUCGGAAUUGCCUUCGAUACUGUUAGUCUUGAGUCCGGGAGAGGUGAGUGGAAUUCCUAGUGUAGAGGUGAAAUUCGUAGAUAUUAGGAAGAACACCCGUAGCGAAGGCGGCACUCUGGGCCGGAACUGACGCUGAGGAGCGAAAGCGUGGGGAGCGAACAGG